UCCACGCCGUAAACGAUGAGAACUAAGUGUUGGGGUUACCCAGUGCUGAAGCUAACGCAUUAAGUUCUCCGCCUGGGGAGUACGACCGCAAGGUUGAAACUCAAAGGAAUUGACGGGUCUCCGCACAAGCGGUGGAGCAUGUUGUUUAAUUCGAAGAUACGCGAAGAACCUUACCAGGUCUUGACAUCCCCUUGAUCGGUGCAGAGAUGCAUCUUUCCUUCGGGACAAGGGUGACAGGUGGUGCAUGGUUGUCGUCAGCUCGUGUCGUGAGAUGUUGGGUUAAGUCCCGCAACGAGCGCAACCCCUAUUGAUAGUUGCUAACAUUAAGUUGAGGACUCUAUCGAGACUGCCAGUGAUAAACUGGAGGAAGGUGGGGAUGACGUCAAAUCAUCAUGCCCCUUAUGACCUGGGCUACAAACGUGCUACAAUGGCCGGUACAACGAGUUGCCAACCCGCGAGGGGGAGCUAACCUUUUAAAACCGGUC
rnacentral:rRNA from 1 species